GGUGGGCUGUGGGGUCGGGGAGUCCCGCGGGCACUGCGGAGGGGUCAGGGGGUCCCCCCGGGGCGCCGGGUGGUCGCGACCCGGGCUCGCGUCCGCGCGCGGGUUCGGGCGGGGAACGCCCGCCUCCCGCGUGUUGCCCCCCCCCUCCGGGCUGUUUCCCGGGGCCGUUUGGGUCGCAGCCACGCUCCCGAUUUUUGGGGUUGCUAACAGCAUGGUCUUCGCUGCUUCCCAUGCCUCCUGCUGUUCUGAGGCCUUUUUUAAAGCUUCCUCUGCUUUAGCCCACGCCUUAAGACAUUUCCCACUGCCUGUAACCUUUAAAUCCUCGGCUAAAGCGAGUGUACAUCUCUCCCACACCUCUGAAUUUAAUAUGUCUAUGGGACGAGUUAUCGUCCUUAGCUCUUGGAGCUUAUUAAUAGCAAGCUGAAAAUGCUUGAAGUCACAUCUAAUACCCCAUUGUAAAUUAAAAUAACUCACGACUCGGGCUACAGCUUCCAUGAGGCUGAGGCGGUCCCCACGCGACUCGGGCCACGACUUCCACGAGACUGGCGGUCCUACACGACUCUGGUCACAACUUCUACAAGGUUGCGGCGGUCCUCGUAAAACUCAGGCCACAGCUUGUAUGAGGCUAUGGCGGUUCCAAUUCAAACUCAGGCCACAGCUUCUAUGAGGCUGUGGCGGUUCCGGAGGCGUCCCUCCUCGCUGUGGUGGAGUCCAGGACCCCCCGCAGCCGCUGGCCUUGUCCAGGAGACUCCCGAUCCCGGGUUCUGUUUCUUUUGUGUUCCCGGGCUUUCGGCACCACUUGUUGCCUUGCAGGCAAGGCGUAACGACCUGGUUCCAAGGAAACGCAGCACGACGGCCCAAUGCUCUUGGCCGCUCGGGCUAAGGACACGCAGACAUCAAUGUGAUAGAUGGUCCAAAGGCCCUUUAUUGGUUUUCUCCUCGGUAUAUAUACCCUUGGUCCUUCCCCUACCUUUGGGGUCUGACUUUUACCUUAUAUGGUUAGUAAGGGGACUGGGUGGAGGCCGUGUUAGGUAGGGUUACAACAUUCUUGGGGGGAUUACAACAUUCUUGGCCUCUUGUCCUGCGGCUAUCCUUAUCUCUGGGAGUCAGGUGAGGGAGGCCCUAUCAGGUUUCCGUGACAGCCCGAAAUCUUCCGACCGCCUGUCCCUAUUCUCUCUGCCACAUUAGAGGCAGGGCUUUUUUAGCUUUAAGGGUGAUUUUAGCAAAGAUAUCAGAGGUUUUAUUAACUGUAUUGGGAAUGGGGGUCUUUGUAAAUAAGUGUGGUAGCUAGGUUGUGGGAAAAUGGAAUUGACAUUUUUGGUGGCAUUUUUGGGUGUUGUCCUUUCAGAAAUUUAUGAUUGUGUUCCUGAUUGUAGCCGUGACCAAGGGACCACAGCCCGGUGACUGCGGGACAUUGCCAGCGAGAGAGGCGGCCUUCCUUUGCAGCGGACGUGGAUUCUCAUCCCAGGAUGCUCGAGAGAUAAGUCUAGGGCUGUGCCACGCUGAGGGGAUGGAAGCGAGGUGCUGGGAGGGCCUUUUGAGUAGUUUCUUGGGAGGCAGGGAUGUGCAGGAGAUGGCCCCUUAGGCCACAUGGAGGAGAAGUCUCAGCGUGCUGAGGUGCUCAGGGCAGAGCGGUCCCGGUGCCUGUCACUUGUGUCACUUGUCUGUCGUGCCUUCUGUGUCUUUUGGAUGUCUCGUGUCUUGUGCCUUAGUCCUUUGAGGGGCUUAUGGUUUGUCCUGUUCUGUGUCACGGGUGUCUGGGUGUUUGGGCCGAUGCCGCUCUGCCCUGCUGCAAAGCCUGGUGUAGGUAUCAUAGGAGAAGUCCUGGGGGCCUGGAAAGAUGCUGGUUUUUUCUGGAAGAAUUACGUGAGAGCAGAAAAGUUACAAUGGCAUUGCAGUUGCCUGCACAGAAAAGACCCAGGGAAGUGGAACACAGCCAGGUGGUUUUGUGUGGCACCACAACUGAGAGCAUCAGUUAGGUGAGGAGGCGCGAGCAGCUCCCCGCUUUCGCAGACACAGUAGAAAUGUCAAGCAGUUUCGCCCUUUUCCAGACCACUGGCACGUGCUUGGGGACAAUAAGCUGUAUUUUUUACAGCCAGGUCUUCUGAGCCGCACUCCUCCUGCUCUGGGGUGGCCGCUGCUCACUGAUCACGGUGAAAACAACCUUGUGUCCCGGCACCCUGCAAAAUUCCCAGCUUAGAUGGCACUGAAGCGCAGCUUUGGCUUUCAGGCAUCUCCCUUGCAACCUGUGCCUUGUGUGGUCUCUGCAGGGAAUUAGUUAUUAAUUAAUUGCUUCCAAUUUUUUUUUAAUUUCCCAAGAAUAUCAGGUGACUUUUACAUCCUCUGCAGAGAUCUAUCUGCCUGGGAGGAGAAGCAGAGGCGACCACUGAAAAGUGGCACGUGAGCUCUGGUGAGGACUGCUGCUCCGCCUGCCUUGGUGUGGGAACUGCUGAGCUGCCGUUCCUGUGGUGGGAGUGUUUCUCCUCUCAUGCAGGCAAGGCAGAGACCUGCCAGGUAAGGAGCAGGUAAGGUUUAAGUGACGAGAUGUCCCAAGGAAGAAGUGACAUGACAAAAGGAAAUGGCCUCGAGUUGCAGCAGGGAAGGCUUAGAUUGGAUUGUAGGAAACACUUCCUCACUGAAAGGGUGGUGAGGCAUUGGAGCAGGCUGCCCAGGGAAGUCCCCGUCCCUGGAGACAUGGAAAGGAUGUGUAGACGUGGUGUUUAGGGACCUGAUUUGGGGGUGGGGGGGGCUUGGCAGUGCUGGGGCAACGAGGGAGGCAGGGAGGGAGGGAGAAAAAUCCUCUCUUAACAUGUACCAAUUAAUCUGUGAAACUCAUCACGGCAGGACAGCACGAAGACUGAAAGUGUGAUAAGGUGUGGAGUGAAAUGGAGAAUCCGAGAAGUGACAAGAGCAUCCGGUGCACAGGGGGGCUGUGCAUUUUGCUUUUUGCUUGGAUUUCAACUCCAAAGUUGUGAGGAAUUUGGAAUGAGAUGGGACAUUUCAGAAGAAGACCAAGGAGAGGAAGAAGAAGUUGUUGCAGUCCUGGCGAAAUCUUUUUUUCCUAGCUAAUAAAAGAAGUUAGUGUGGGGAAAAAAAAAAGUGUUUUUUUUUUUUCCUUCACUCGUAUAUUCUUUGGUGGUGGAUGUAUGGUGUGUUGUUUUCCUUUUCGGUAUUAUUAACUAUGUGCAAUUUGGUUUUGGAGUGAAGAUAACCUUAUGGAUGGGGUUGGUUUGUAUUUGAGGUAGAAUUAAUUUCAGUAGGUUUCCUUAACAGACUUCUGAGAUGUAUGAUAUUGGGAUUUUGGUUGUGUUCCUUGUAUGUGUAAAGAUACAGAUUUGGUAGGGCUAGCUGGGCUGCUGGAGUUUUGGGUGGUAAUUUAUUAGAUGGCUUUUGCUGGAUGCCAUUUUUAAUUUUUGAAAGUUUUUUUUUCAUGUAGCAGUUUUAAAGUGGUUUUUAAGAAUUCAUAGUAUUGUUUUAUAUUGUUUCUGCUUGGUGUAUGAUGAGGGAUAUGGUGUACCUCUUGAACGUUAUGCUUUUGGUGUUCAUAAGUUUCGAUUUAUUUCUGGAUAAAUGUUUUUUGUUUUUUUUUUAGUUUUAGUUUUUGGGCUCAGGCGCAUUUAUGUGGUGGGUUUCUAUAGGCAAUUUUUAAAAAUCUGUGUAGUGAUCUUUUAAAGUAUUUUAAUAUUCAAUUUUUAUUAUGCUUUUAAUUGGCUUUUUAGAAAUUCUUUUUAUGGAUUAUUGGUUAUUAUUUGUGAGUUAGCAUAAAGGUAGAGCUUUGGGGGCUUUUUUAAGACGUGUUUAGGGUCAGUUGUACAGUUUGGAGUUUAGUGAGUUGGUCUGAUGUAUUUUUUAUGCCAUUUGUUUUUAUUAGCAGUUAUUUCAUUUUAAAUGUGUAUUUGAGUUUUUUGGGUUUUUGAGAUGUUGGUUGAGGAGGAAGUUUACGCUUAUAAAUGAUGGAGGUUUUGGGGUAAUAAUAAUGGGAUUUUAAAAUUGAUUUAUAGUUGGGUUUAUUUGAAUUUUGAAUGGGGUUAAGUGUGGUGGGAUCCUUGUUCUCUUAGUAAUAGAAACAGGUUUUGUUUUGAAACGGUGUGACGGGGCGAGCGUGUACUGCGGCCUGGUGCUGAGCAGGGCGUGGUGGUUUUGUGCUGCUGAUGUGUUAGGUCAGUGAAUGCAUAUGGUUUACUGUAUAGUUUAAAAUAGAAAUAGCUUCAAAUUUUAAAAGAAAAAUGAAAUUAUAAUGAUAAAAAUAAAUACAGAAAACAGAUCAAUACAUAAAACUAUAAUAUAUAGUGUACUAUUGUAAAGAUAAUAUGAUAUAUAAAAUGCUGUCUCUUGUAUGUCUAUACAAAUAUAUAGAUUGUAAAUAUAAAAAUAUUUAAAUAUAGUUUAAAAUAGGGUGUUUUUUUGUUUUUAUUAGGUUGUAGGCAGGGGUUUUUAAUAAAUAGUAUAAAUAUAAUUAAUCUGAAAAUAUAAAUCAAAUCUAAGCAUAUAGAAUAUAUAUAACAAUAGGUAUAAAUAUUCAAUAUAAGUAAUCUAAUUUAAUAGAUGAUAUAAAAUAAUAUUAUAUUUUCUAGAGUAUAUAUAAAGAAAAUUAUAAAUGUCUAUGUAAAUAUAAUUAUGAAUGAUAUAAUUUAAAUAUUUUAAAAUAUGGUUAAAAUAAAGGGCUGUCUUUGGUUUUUAUUUUGUUAGAGGCAGGGGUUUUAUUUGAAAUUAUGUAAAGUAGCAUAGAAAUAUAAAUCUAAAUAUAGAAAUUCAUAAUAAAGGUAUAAAGACAGAUAAUUAUAAUUAAAGCAUAAAUACAAAUUUAAAUAUAUGUAAGUAAUAUGAAGGUAAGUAAUAUAGAAUAUAAAUAAUAUUAUAGAGCGAUAGAAACUAUAAAUAUAAAUGUGAAUAUAAAUAUGAAAAAAGAUAAAUAUUAAAAUAUGUAAAUAUAAUUUAAAUAAAGGGGUUUUUGGUUUUUAUUUGGUUAGAGACGGGGUUUUCAUUUUAAAUAAUAUAAAUAUGGAUAUUGUUUCAUAAUCAUCAAUACGGAAAUCUAUAAUCAGGAUAUAAAAAUAUAUAUAGAAAUAUAAAAUAUAAAUAAAGUAAUGAGAAGAGAUCUAGUAGAAUACAAGUAACACUGUAAGUCAAUAUACAUUUUAAGUGUAAAUGAAUAUAAAUUUUGAAAGUAAUUAAAAAAAAAAAAAAAAAAAAAAAAUUAAACACAGUUUAAGAGAAAGAAGUUCUUUUUGGCUUUUCUUUGGAUAGCUGCAGGGCUUUUAUUUUAAAUAAUGUGUGUUACAGAACUAAAAAUAUGAAUCCAGAAAUAUAGAAUCAAUAUAUAAAGAAAUGCAUAAACAUAUAUAAGUAAAGUAAUAUAGAAUAUGAAUUUAUCUAUAAAUUUAUAAAUAGAAAUGUAGAACUAAACAUGAUAUAUCCAUGUACAUUAUGAAUAUAAAAGUGAAUAUAAAUAUGAAAAAAUAUAACAGUGCAAUAUAUUUAAAUAUUGUUUAAAAGAAAGGCUUUGUGGGGUUUUUUUGGUUGUUACUGGGUUAGAGGCAGGGAUUUUUUUUUUUCCCCCUUCCGGGUUGUUUUGGGGCAUUUAUUUUAGAAGAGGUUUUGGAGGGAAUCCCCCCGGUUCGUUUUAGCCCCGCCCGCAGCCCCGCGGCGUGCGGCGCCCCCGGCUGAGGCGGGCGGCAGCGCCGCCGCCUUGUGGCCAGAGCGCGGUACUGCAGCUCCCUCCGGCUGAGGCGGGCGGCAGCGCCGCCGCCUUGUGGCCAGAGCGCGGUACUGCAGCCUCCCGACAGGCAGCCGAGAGGCGGCGGCGAAAACGCCUCUCUGUGCCGCGCUGCUGCAGCGGCCGACGGCGUGGGGGGGGUUCGGCCGGGACGCGCUCGACCUUCUCAAGAUGGCGGCAAAAAAAGAGCGGGAAAGUCGAGGACCUCCGUCCGUUUACUGGACUGCCUGCGUGGCACCCCGAGGCCAGAGCAGCAGCGGCGGGAUUUUCUGUGGCGAUUCAAGUGCUGUGGACACGGGCUGUGCGCUCAGCGGCACCGAGACCUGAGGUAUUUCGGCGAGUUUCUGACAGGCACAGGCGAACUCGGCUUUCUCUGCCGGGGGCCUGUCGCGGCCGCCAUCUUGGGAGUGGCGUGUCGCGUCGUGUCGCGGACCGGCUUGACCUUCUCAAGAGGGCGGCCAAAAGGGCGGGAAAAAUGAGGCCCAUGGUGUGUCUAUUGAGCUGCCCGCACGACGCUCCAUCGCCGGCGCGACCCCGGAGGAAUUUUCUGUGGCGAUUCACGUGCUGUGGACACGGGCUGUGCGCUCAGCGGCGCCGCGGGCGGUGGCGUUUGUGGCGGGCGCUGACAGGCUUGAGCAUAGACGCCUCUCUUUGCCGAGGGCUUCUCGCGGCUGCCAUCUUGAGAGUGGCGUGUCGCGUCGUGUCGCGGACCGGCUUGACCUUCUCAAGAGGGCGGCCAAAAGGGCGGGAAAAUCCAGGUUAGCCGAGAAUAGCCGAGUGUAGCCGAAGAGCCGACGAUAGCCGAGUUUUGCCGACAAUAGCCGGGUGUAGCCGAAGAGCCGACGAUAGCCGAGUUUUGCCGACAAUAGCCGGGUGUUGCCGAACAGCCGACGAUAGCCGAGUUCAGCCGAAGUGCCGAAACAAGCCCAGCUUAGACCAACAGCCGAACCAAACCGCCGCUGCACGUACGUGUUUUAAUCGCGUAACCGGGCGGACUCGGGAAAGCCGACAGGCGGAGUAGAUUUCUGUUUGGUCUGUGUCUGUCAGGAGCGGGCUGUGUGCUGGACAGGGAGCGACGCUGUCGGAGCGUGGCGACAGCGCCAGCUGUGAGCUCUGAGGAUGAUGAGGGCUCCGAGCAGCCCCAGCCCUGAGCUGCGAGGAUGAGGAGGGGGCGGCUCCUGCCGGGAGGAGGCUGUUUUAGGGGGGAAGGGGUUGCCUGAGCUCCCUUUUGCCUGGAGCUGCUGAGCAGAGGGGUUUAUGGGGGGCUCCCGGCGCUGUCUCGUGGAAGGACGCCGAGAGCUUCUCCGAGGGUCUGGGGGAACACCUGGAUACGCCCUUGGAUGCGUGGAGCAUUGCUCAAAGGAGGUGCCGAGGAACAAAGCUCCGUGCCGGGAAGCAGCAGCCGAACGGCCGUGUCCAAGGGACCACAGCCCGGUGACUGCGGGACAUUGCCAGCGAGAGAGGCGGCCUUCCUUUGCAGCGGACGUGGCUUCUCAUCCCAGGAUGCUCGAGAGGUAAGUCGAGGGCUGUGCCACGCUGAGGGGAUGGAAGCGAGGUGCUGGGAGGGCCUUUUGAGUAGUUUCUUGGGAGGCAGGGAUGUGCAGGAGAUGGCCCCUUAGGCCACAUGGAGGAGAAGUCUCAGCGUGCUGAGGUGCUCAGGGCAGAGCGGUCCCGGUGCCUGUCACUUGUGUCACUUGUCUGUCGUGCCUUCUGUGUCUUUUGGAUGUCUCGUGUCACGUGUCUUGUGCCUUAGUCCUUUGAGGGGCUUAUGGUUUGUCCUGUUCUGUGUCACGGGUGUCUGGGUGUUUGGGCCGAUGCCGCUCUGCCCUGCUGCAAAGCCUGGUGUAGGUAUCAUAGGAGAAGUCCUGGGGGCCUGGAAAGAUGCUGGUUUUUUCUGGAAGAAUUACGUGAGAGCAGAAAAGUUACAAUGGCAUUGCAGUUGCCUGCACAGAAAAGACCCAGGGAAGUGGAACACAGCCAGGUGGUUUUGUGUGGCACCACAACUGAGAGCAUCAGUUAGGUGAGGAGGCGCGAGCAGCUCCCCGCUUUCGCAGACACAGAAAUGUCAAGCAGUUUCGCCCUUUUCCAGACCACUGGCACGUGCUUGGGGACAAUAAGCUGUAUUUUUUACAGCCAGGUCUUCUGAGCCGCACUCCUCCUGCUCUGGGGUGGCCGCUGCUCACUGAUCACGGUGAAAACAACCUUGUGUCCCGGCACCCUGCAAAAUUCCCAGCUUAGAUGGCACUGAAGCGCAGCUUUGGCUUUCAGGCAUCUCCCUUGCAACCUGUGCCUUGUGUGGUCUCUGCAGGGAAUUAGUUAUUAAUUAAUUGCUUCCAAUUUUUUUUUAAUUUCCAAAGAAUAUCAGGUGACUUUUACAUCCUCUGCAGAGAUCUAUCUGCCUGGGAGGAGAAGCAGAGGCGACCACUGAAAAGUGGCACGUGAGCUCUGGUGAGGACUGCUGCUCCGCCUGCCUUGGUGUGGGAACUGCUGAGCUGCCGUUCCUGUGGUGGGAGUGUUUCUCCUCUCAUGCAGGCAAGGCAGAGACCUGCCAGGUAAGGAGCAGGUAAGGUUUAAGUGACGAGAUGUCCCAAGGAAGAAGUGACAUGACAAAAGGAAAUGGCCUCGAGUUGCAGCAGGGAAGGCUUAGAUUGGAUUGUAGGAAACACUUCCUCACUGGAAGGGUGGUGAGGCAUUGGAGCAGGCUGCCCAGGGAAGUCCCCGUCCCUGGAGACAUGGAAAGGAUGUGUAGACGUGGUGUUUAGGGACCUGAUUUGGGGGUGGGGGGGGCUUGGCAGUGCUGGGGCAACGAGGGAGGCAGGGAGGGAGGGAGAAAAAUCCUCUCUUAACAUGUACCAAUUAAUCUGUGAAACUCAUCACGGCAGGACAGCACGAAGACUGAAAGUGUGAUAAGGUGUGGAGUGAAAUGGAGAAUCCGAGAAGUGACAAGAGCAUCCGGUGCACAGGGGGGCUGUGCAUUUUGCUUUUUGCUUGGAUUUCAACUCCAAAGUUGUGAGGAAUUUGGAAUGAGAUGGGACAUUUCAGAAGAAGACCAAGGAGAGGAAGAAGAAGUUGUUGCAGUCCUGGCGAAAUCUUUUUUUCCUAGCUAAUAAAAGAAGUUAGUGUGGGGAAAAAAAAAAAAAAAGUAUUUUUUUUUCCUUCACUCGUAUA